GAUGGGGCUUGGCGAGUAUGAUCAAAGAGGAAACUUCAGAUAUGGUGAUUCCCAACCGAGUACUACAGCAAGUUGGAACACCAGCAGUGGCAUCCUAGAGAACCAACAUUUUGCACAACCAAACAUGACCAGACAACUUCUAAACCUACAUGAUGAGGAUUCACGUUCAGGGAGCAAGAAACACCGGAGCAGCUCGUUGGGAUCGAGCAGUCAAAAUUCGGAAUCGAGUGACACACAAGAGCUGGAUUUGGAGCUCAGAUUGUCAUUGUAAUCAGUAA